rnacentral:lncRNA from 1 species
AUAGAACCAUCUUCUGCCAAGGAACAAGAAGCGCCAUCUUUUGAAAUUGCUACUGCAAGCAAAAAUGAUUCACACAACACUAACAAGAAGCCAUCAAAAGGUCCAGACCAAAAAUUGCAACCUAAAGUUUAGUACAUAUCCACUUACUAUUUAUUUACAAACUUUUCUCUGGAUUACAGGACUGGAACCGAAGCCAACACAUCAACUUGAUGCACUUAUCAUAAAAGAGCUUCGAUCAGCUUAUUUCUGAAGCAAAUAAAGGAACGGUGUUCUUCUGCAUACAUUCACCUUUUAAAGUUAUUUAGUUUCUGAUUAAUAAAUAUUUCGCCUGCGUGUGAAUGCUACUGCAUGAUCAGAUGAUCAACGAUUUUGUCUUUACCAGUUAACGUGUCUUGGUACUAUGUUUUGCAAAACCUAUUCCUGUUUUGCGCACUGAAUAAUGAAACAACUUAUGCAUUUCUAUACAUAUGGUUAUCAUACCUCUAAAUAAUGGUUGUUUCCAUAGCUCUGGUUUCUAUUCCGAUAGGAAAAUGCACUUCUUCGAUAUUCUACUAUUCUACCAAGAAUGUUGAAAAUGCACUUAUUCGAUCUUCUACUAUUCUACUAAGAAUGUUUAAAUCCCA